rnacentral:misc_RNA from 1 species
AGUAGAAUUCUUGAACAGGUCCAAGCAGCAUUCUUUUGCAAGUCCUCUGUUCCAAAAUUUCUCAUAGUAUUCUGCGUAUGUAAAAUGCUUGUAAACUGCUGGAUGAUCAUGGUCAAUCAACUCCUUAGCAGGCCCUAUCACUGCAUCAGGUGAAGGACAAUAGAACGUCGGAAUAGAUAGUCUCUCUUUGUCACUGUUCACCACUGCUCUGUGAAGAACGCUCUUGUACCGAUCAUUGCUAAUGACCUGCAUUUGAUCACCGAUAUUGACGAUGAAGGUAUUGGGAAUGGGAUUAACAGCGACCCAUUUGCCAUUUCUCAGAACCUGCAAUCCGGGCACUUGAUCCUGCAGAAGAAUGGUGAUUAGAUUGGGGUCAGUAUGUCCAGGCAGUCCAUAAGUUAGCUCUGGCUGUGGGCAGGGGGGAUAAUAGUUAAUGGCCAUGUGCUGUCCAUGCUUGCUUAAUGCCUUGUCUAUGUAAUCUCUUUCCAAGCCUAAGCUUUCUGAUAUGGCUUCAAGCAGUGUCAGCACUAGCGCUCGAACUCUCGAGCAAUAUUCAGCCACAUUCUUCCUGAAAGAUGGAGGAUUGGAAGGCCAUUCUUGGAUGUAAUCCUCAAGUGGGUAACAGUGGAGUCUCAAGAAGUCUCUCCAGUUGGAUACCUUUUCGGUCUUGACAUUGAAACUGGUAGAGAGCCUGGUGGUUUUGGUAGGGUCGUCGGAGUAACUCUUUAGUCUCUCGCUUUCAGGUAAUUUGAAGAAAUCUAUCGCCGUGCGCAAUAUGGUAUUGAUCAUAUCCUCCGGUAUUCCAUGGCUCUUGAUCUGAAAGAAACCAUCAAACUGGCAAGCUCGGCCAAUCUGGGCUAUAACAAGAGAGUGAUUAGGACCGUGAAGGUCCUGGAGGUCUAUAAGAGGAAUGGAGGCGUCGGACAUCUUAACGUCGGAGAGAUUUGGACGGUCGGAGAUGGGACGGAUGUAGUUGGACGGAACAUGAUUGACACCCAAGGAUGCAAGGUCAGCCAGCAGUGGCUUAGAGGAAGCCAUUAGAAUUGAUUUUUGU